rnacentral:tRNA from 1 species
GGAUUGUGGCUCAGUGGUAGAGUGCUCGCCUAUCACGGGCGGGACCCGGGUUCGAUCCUCAGCACCA